AUUGAACGCUGGCGGCAUGCUUUACACAUGCAAGUCGAGCGGUAACAGGCUUUCGGGUGCUGACUAGUGGCGACCGGGGGCGUAAGGCAGCGGAACGUACCCAGAGGUGGGGGUUAACGCAGCGAAAGCUGUGCUAAUACCGCAUAUGAUCGGAGAAUGAAAGCGGGGGACAGAGCAGCAAUGUUUGGCCUCGCGCGUUUGGAGCGGCCGAUGUCGGAUUAGCUAGUUGGUGGGGUAAAGGCCUACCAAGGCGACGAUCCGUAGCUGGUCUGAGAGGAUGAUCAGCCACACUGGAACUGAGACACGGUCCAGACUCCUACGGGAGGCAGCAGUGGGGAAUUUUGGACAAUGGGCGCAAGCCUGAUCCAGCAAUGCCGCGUGGGGGAAGAAGGCCUUCGGGUUGUAAAGCGCUUUUGGUAGGAAAGAAACGCUGUCGGCUAAUACCGGGCGGUAAUGACGGUACCUGAAGAAUAAGCACCGGCUAACUACGUG
rnacentral:rRNA from 1 species